rnacentral:rRNA from 1 species
UGAGGAAUAUUGCGCAAUGGGCGAAAGCCUGACACAGCAACGCCGCGUGAGGGACGAAGGCCUUCGGGUCGUAAACCUCUUUUCUGGGGAAAGAGCAAGGACGGUACCUCAGGAAUAAGUCUCGGCUAACUACGUGCCAGCAGCCGCGGUAAAACGUAGGAGGCGAGCGUUAUCCGGAUUCAUUGGGCGUAAAGCGCACGCAGGCGGUUCGACAAGUCGGGUGUGAAAUCCCCGGGCUCAACUCGGGAACUGCAUUCGAAACUGUCGGUCUGGAGUGCGGAAGAGGGAAGCGGAAUUCCUGGUGUAGAGGUGAAAUUCGUAGAUAUCAGGAGGAACACCGGUGGCGAAAGCGGCUUCCUGGUCCGUCACUGACGCUCAUGUGCGAAAGCGUGGGGAGCAAACAGGAUUAGAUACCCUGGUAGUCCACGCUGUAAACGAUGAGUGCUAGGCGUUGGAGGCGUUUACCCCUUCAGUGCCGCAGCUAACGCGUUAAGCACUCCGCCUGGGGAGUACGGCCGCAAGGUUA